AAAGCAGGGGAGUCUGCGCUCUUGUCCCAUCAAUAAGCAACAGAUAGAACAUUGAGAUAGAAUUAGAAUGGACACAGACUUUACAGACACUAUGAUGUGGGGGUGGGACAGGGGAGAAAGCAUUUCUCAGGUUUGCCACUUAUCUUCCUUUUGGAGAUGUGAGAGAGUACUGGAAGAGGAAAGGGAACAGCAGAAAGAGCCUGUCUGAGAAUGAAGUCAAAGCAAAAAGCUGCCAAAAAGUGGAGGAAAAAUGAUAGAGCUCAGAAAACCCCAGGGAAGGACUUGGAUUUAGCUGUGGCCAUUCCUUAAACAUCUCAGAACUUUCAGUAAUGAGAUCUGAAGCGGCAAUCACAGAGAUCACAGAAAUUUAAAAUAUCAGAGGAUUAAAGAAAAAAGGAACAGGAAAAAAGCCAGAUGUCAAAGCAUAAUCAUUUUGUAGAAAUGGGAUCUAGCUGGGACGUUCUCCAAGGAAAGGUCAGUUCUCACGUAUUCUGCGGUUAAAUAUCAUG